rnacentral:rRNA from 1 species
GUAACAGUCCCUAUCACCUUGAAAAUGCCCAAUCUCGUCUGAUCUCAUAAACUAAGUAGAUUUGGGUCUGAUUAGUACUUGGAUGAGAGACCACUGGGAACACCAAGAGCAGCAGUGGUU